rnacentral:tRNA from 1 species
UGAUGACCCGUACGGGAUUUGAACCCAUGUUACCGCCGUGAAAGGGCGGUGUCUUAACCACUUGACCAACGGGCC